rnacentral:rRNA from 1 species
UGGUGGAGUGAUUUGUCUGGUUAAUUCCGUUAACGAACGAGACCUCGACCUGCUAAAUAGUUUGGCGAAUUCCCUGUGGAUUCUCACAUAACUUCUUAGAGGGACUAUCGGUUCGCAGCCGGUGGAAGUUCGAGGCAAUAACA